AAGAAUAAGCACCGGCUAACUACGUGCCAGCAGCCGCGGUAAUACGUAGGGUGCAAGCGUUAAUCGGAAUUACUGGGCGUAAAGCGUGCGCAGGCGGUUUUGCAAGACAGAUGUGAAAUCCCCGGGCUCAACCUGGGAACUGCAUUUGUGACUGCAUGGCUAGAGUACGGUAGAGGGGGAUGGAAUUCCGCGUGUAGCAGUGAAAUGCGUAGAUAUGCGGAGGAACACCGAUGGCGAAGGCAAUCCCCUGGACCUGUACUGACGCUCAUGCACGAAAGCGUGGGGAGCAAACAGGAUUAGAUACCCUGGUAGU
rnacentral:rRNA from 1 species